rnacentral:rRNA from 1 species
UACGUAGGGUGCGAGCGUUAAUCGGAUUUACUGGGCGUAAAGCGUGCGCAGGCGGCCCGUUAAGACAGGUGUGAAAGCCCGGGGCUCAACCCCGGAAGUGCAUUGGAAACUGCUCUGCUUGAGUACCGGAGAGGAAGGGGGAAUUCCCGGUGUAGCGGUGAAAUGCGUAGAUAUCGGGAGGAAGGCCGGUGGCGAAGGCGGCCCUCUGGGCCUGUACUGACGCUCAUGCACGAAAGCGUGGGGAGCAAACAGG